AGAAAAAAGAAAGGUGACAGUAUUUUGGAGAAGCCAUCGAUUCCAAAUCCUUUUCCUGAGCUGUGUUGCUCGCCGUUUGCAUCAGUUUUUUCAGCCAGUCUGUUGCCCAAGGCAACUUCAAGAAAAAAGCAGCUAUAAUUCAGGGUCUUCUAAUGUAUCUGCUUGGAGCCUCAUUCUUCAAAACUGCAUAUAAUUCUACUAGCAGACAUACCUGGCUAAGUCUUCAGUGCUUAAAUGUUUUUGUGACAGAUUUUUUGUCUGAAAUAUCUGUUUACUCUUGACUUUCAAACAGUAAAACAAUAAAAGGGUUUUUAUUUGAAA